CCUGCGAACAAUGCUGCUGCGUCACCCACAUGCAGCUCCCAGAAAUGCUUUGCAACGGAAGAUGGCAGGAGGGGGAGCUGAGCUCGAGUGAGCGAGCCAGGCAGAGGGCCCAGCCGUCCUGCUGCAGAGUCGGGAGGGGGUGUGCUCAGCCGGCGCUCUCGGCCUGGUGAUUGGAGGAAAGGCUGCCCGGGAGGCGAGCCGGGCCGCGCCCCCGCCUGCUCCCUCCCACCACCACUGCAAUAGGAGAACCCAAGGCCGGCCCCGGAGGGCUCCCUCUGGCCGACUUCGGAAGGCGCCAGCAAAAGGGAAGGCUUUAACCCGUUCUGCAUCUGGGCCCGCAAACAGCGAGUCACCCGAAGUUCAGCCUGUGCAAGAGCCAGGCACCCAAGCUGAGUUCCUCCAACUUCCCUUCUUUCCCCACACACCCGCCUGCUUCACCUGCCCUCACUGCUGCUCUCCCAGCCCAGAAUCCAGAAUGAGCAUACAUGUUUCCAGAAAAACCUUCAGGAAUGACACAUUUCAACCAAUACUGAGAUAUUCAAUACAUAUGUCUGUUUAAUAUCAACUACUUCGACAACAGAUGCCUGCCUCUGGUUACGACUGGGCACUCUACCACCAUAACCGAAACGUCUAGGCAGCUCUUCCCGCAGUUCCAUCCUGACCAAGUAAAGCCAGCUGAGGUACAACCUGAGGUCAAGGUGUCAAGGUGCUUUAUCUCCUGCCUUGGUACCAGCGCAAGGAGCCACUGAAUCUGUGUCUGCCAAUUCCACAUCCACCAGUCUCCUGGGACUCUGCCCCUCAGAUUACCCCUCCCCCCAGGACACCAGCACUCCUGCCCAUUUCCUAUCCUAGUCGUUUGUUUUGCCUGCCACAUUCUUGAUGUUCCCUGGAUGAUGCGGCCAGCCUUGUAUCCCGUCAGACAUCCCGAUGCCAUUUGUGGCAGCUACUCGAGUGAUGCGUGCCACACACUCUCCACACACUGAUUCACGGUCAGGGUGAAGCUCGGACUGAACAAGCAAUCUCUCACUACAGUGUACUGUAUUUUGGAUCUAGAUUUAUGUAAUUUUCAGACUCUCAUAAAUAUAACUUGGCUUUUUUUCAGAAAUUACAGGAGCUGCUUUGAAAUAAACAUCUCAGGCCACUAAGAACCUA